CCUACGGGAGGCAGCAGUGGGGAAUAUUGCACAAUGGGCGCAAGCCUGAUGCAGCAACGCCGCGUGAGGGACGACGGCCUUCGGGUUGUAAACCUCUUUUAGUAGGGAAGAAGCGAAAGUGGCGGUACCUGCAGAAAAAGCACCGGCUAACUACGUGCCAGCAGCCGCGGUAAUACGUAGGGUGCAAGCGUUAUCCGGAAUUAUUGGGCGUAAAGAGCUCGUAGGCGGUUUGUCGCGUCUGCUGUGAAAACUGGAGGCUCAACCUCCAGCCUGCAGUGGGUACGGGCAAACUAGAGUGCGGUAGGGGAGAUUGGAAUUCCUGGUGUAGCGGUGGAAUGCGCAGAUAUCAGGAGGAACACCGAUGGCGAAGGCAGAUCUCUGGGCCGUAACUGACGCUGAGGAGCGAAAGCAUGGGGAGCGAACAGGAUUAGAUACCCUGGUAGUCCAUGCCGUAAACGUUGGGCGCUAGAUGUGGGGACCAUUCCACGGUUUCCGUGUCGCNGCUACGCAUAGUCGCCCGCCGUCGGGAGGUACGGCCGCGACGGACGUAAACUUAAACGUAGAAGUAGACGGCGUGAGACGUCGCCGACGGACGACGACGAGGGAGGUUAGG
rnacentral:rRNA from 1 species